UGAACCUGCGGAGGGAUCAUUACACAAAUAUGAAGGCGGGCUGGAAUCUCUCGGGGUUACAGCCUUGCUGAAUUAUUCACCCUUGUCUUUUGCGUACUUCUUGUUUCCUUGGUGGGUUCGCCCACCACUAGGACAAACAUAAACCUUUUGUAAUUGCAAUCAGCGUCAGUAACAAAUUAAUAAUUACAACUUUCAACAACGGAUCUCUUGGUUCUGGCAUCGAUGAAGAACGCAGCGAAAUGCGAUAAGUAGUGUGAAUUGCAGAAUUCAGUGAAUCAUCGAAUCUUUGAACGCACAUUGCGCCCUUUGGUAUUCCAAAGGGCAUGCCUGUUCGAGCGUCAUUUGUACCCUCAAGCUUUGCUUGGUGUUGGGCGUCUUGUCUCUAGCUUUGCUGGAGACUCGCCUUAAAGUAAUUGGCAGCCGGCCUACUGGUUUCGGAGCGCAGCACAAGUCGCACUCUCUAUCAGCAAAGGUCUAGCAUCCAUUAAGCCUUUUUUCAACUUUUGACCUCGGAUCAGGUAGGGAUACCCGCUGAACUUAAGCAUAU
rnacentral:rRNA from 1 species